rnacentral:lncRNA from 1 species
GACAAUGGGAUGAAAGUAACAGUGGCUAAUGCCCAAUUCCAGGACUUGGCACAGAUUCUACUAAAAUUCGAUGAUCAUUAAUUUUAGCCAUGGCAUGACCAUAAAUAUCGCUUGAAGUAGGAGUUGAAGUGAUGCCUCCUCCAAAAACACUUAAUUGAAAGCUGUUUUUCGAAGAAGGAAUAAGCUGAUGAUCAAACUCCUUCUCUAGGCUUGUGAGUUUUCGGGCUUCCAAAGGUGCAACACCGCAUAGUAAAACAAAGAUGAAACUGGCCAAUAUAUAAUUGAUACGAACCAUAUUUAGAAUCUAUGUCUAGCUAGCUAGGCUUCAAUGAUGGCCUAUGUAUAUAUGGUAUAUCUAUGACAAUAAUAUAUGUAGCUCAUAGUUAUAAUGAUAAACACAAGUAGAUCGAGUUGGCUUAGUCAUAGUAUCAGCUAUUUCAAAUAGUACAAUUAAAAGCAUAUAUGUUUUGUCAAAGCUUGGAAGUGCUUUUG